CCUACGGGAGGCAGCAGUGAGGAAUAUUGGUCAAUGGACGAGAGUCUGAACCAGCCAAGUAGCGUGAAGGAUGACUGCUCUCGGGGUUGUAAACUCUAUUUAUAUGGGAGUAAAAAGUUCCAGGUGCGGGAUUUUGUAUGUACCAUAUGUACAUGGAUCGGCUAACUCCGUGCCAGCAGCCGCGGUAAUACGGAGGAUGCGCGCGUUAUCCGGAUUUAUUGGGUUUAAAGGGAGCGUAGGUGGAUUGUUAAGUCAGUCGUGAAAGUUUGCGGCUCAACCGUAGAAUUGCAGUUGAAACUGGCAGGCUUGAGUGCAGUAGAGGUGAGUGGAAUUCGUGGUGUAGCGGUGAAAUGCUUAGAUAUCACGAAGAACUCCGAUUGCGAAGGCAGCUCACUGGACUGCAACUGACACUGAGGCUCGAAAGUGUGGGUAUCAAACAGGAUUAGAUACCCCAGUAGUC
rnacentral:rRNA from 1 species